UUAGUGACGAAAAUUUUAUAAAGAAUUAUGUUCUAUAAAGUUCUAGGUAAUAAAAUGAUAAUGACAAUCUAUUACCUAAAAAUCUUGACCAAAGCUUGUGCCAGCAGUCGCGGCAAUACAAGUAAGAUAAGUGUUAUUCAUCUUUAUUAGGUUUAAAGUGUACCUAGGUUGUAAUUCAAGCCUGAUAAAGGGACUGUAUUUACUAGAGUUUUAUAUAAUAGAUUAGAACUGUUGGUGUAAAGAUGUAAUGAUAUGAUACUAACAUGACUGAUUAAGGUUAAUGCAAUUCUUUAUUAAAAACUGACAUUGAAGGACGAAGGCUCGGGUAACGAAAAGGAUUAGAUACCCUUGUAGUCCAAGCAGAAAAUUAUGAAUGUCAUAUGUCAUAUUUUAUGGUGUAUAAAUUAAAGUGUAAGCAUUCCACCUCAAGAGUAAUACGGCAACGUAGAAACUGAAAUCAUUAGACCGUCUUUAAGAUCAGUAGUGAAGUAUGUUAUUUAAUUCGAUAAUCCUCGAAAAAUCUUACCACAAUUUGAAUGUUUAAUUAAGAACACUUAAUUAAAUACAGGUGUUGCACGGUUGUCUUUAGUUAAUGUCGUGAGAUUGUGAUUAGAUUCAUUCUUAUAAACGUAAACCUGACUCUCAUUUUAUAGAUUAUACAUGAGUUUAAAAGUUAUUUAAUAACAAUAGGGAUUAAGACAAAUCAUCAUGACCCUAAUAUUGUGGGCU
rnacentral:rRNA from 1 species